rnacentral:rRNA from 1 species
AGAUCAGUACGCUGGUCGUGCCUUCGGUAUGCACUGGUGUCACUGAUUUCUCCCUUCUGAAGAACCGUAAUGCCAUUCAGUUGGUGUGGCGGGGAAUCAGGAUUGUUACUUUGAAAAAAUUAGAGUGUUUAAAGCAGGCUCGCGCUUGAAUACAUUAGCAUGGAAUAAUGAAAUAGGACGUUUGAUCCUAUUUUGUUGGUUUCUAGGAUCGACGUA